GCCCUGCGAGCCUCCCAGAGUUCCCGAGGGCACUAACCUCAUUUCCGGUCCUUGAGGAGCUGUGGCUGUGGGGUGCGCGGGGCGUCUUGUGUCAGUCAAGUGCCCUGGAACUGCAGAGGGGCUCACAGGAAGAGGGAUGAGAUGUUUUCCUCCACAGCUGCCUCCUGUUUCCAGGUGCUGGCUGUUGGGCAGGGCUCAACUGGGCUGUGAGAGACAGCACACCUUCAUGUGGCCUCUUCAUCCAGCCUGGGCUUCCGCAAGCAUGGCACCAAGGCGGCCUCCCAAGACAAAGUUCCUCUGCCCUACUGGCUAACAAGUGGAAACUGCAGUGAGCAGGCCUGCAAAAAGGAAAAAAACAACGUGAAAUAAAUCAUCAUAAUGGAACAAAUGACUCAAAAUAAUGGCAACUACACAGAACCAUCCCGUUAGAAAACACAUGGGGAGAAGGAAGGAAGGCCUUCAUAUGUUCUCAAGUACAAACCCAGUCGUUGCCUUUGUGGGGGCUCCCCUGCCCUCAGGACCUGCCGUCCUUGUCUGCUGGGGCCUCCCUGCUGCCUGCCCCACCCUGUUUCCUGAGGUUGUGGCCCUGAACGUGGUGCCUCAUCUGGGGUGCCUGUCCUUCAUGGGACAAUGACUCUCCCUGCCACCUGCACGGGAGGGCCUCCUGUGCUUCCCCUAAGGUGCUCGCGGGCUUAUCCCACACCCCCAAACUCUGACCCGCCAGGGUCUCUGAGGUCGGUCCAGUUCCUGCUGCUGCUGGGCCAGACACCCCCUCCCUCAGGGCAGCUCAAAUGUCCACCUUCCUGCCCCCUUCAGAUGAUGUGCUGGCCACCACCGCCUCGGGGACUGUGCCCAGAGACCCAGCCCCACAACCUGGCAUGAGCGGCUGGUGGCCAGUGGGGAGGAGGGACGCCUGAAGCCUUCAGCUCCGGUCCUGCAACACCACCAUGCCAGGCUGGGAC